UACGUAGGAUGCAAGCGUUGUCCGGAAUUAUUGGGCGUAAAGAGCGAGCAGGCGGUUCAUCAAGUCAGAUGUAAAAUAUCCCGGCUUAACCGGGAGGGGCCAUUUGAAACUGAUGGACUAGAGUGGAGCAGAGGAUAGUGGAAUUCCCGGUGUAGUGGUGAAAUGCGUAGAUAUCGGGAGGAACACCGGUGGCGAAGGCGGCGACCUGGGUUGACAUUGACGCUGAGGCGCGAAAGCGUGGGGAGCAAACAGG
rnacentral:rRNA from 1 species